rnacentral:tRNA from 2 species
GGCGACAUAGCUCAGUUGGGAGAGCGCACGACUGAAGUUUUGAAAAGAGACCCAAUCGUGCGGUCCCUGGUUCGAUCCCGGGUGGCGCCA